CACGGAAUUAGCCGGUCCUUAUUCAUACGGUACCUGCAAAGGAGAACACGUUCACCCUUUUAUCCCCGUAUAAAAGCAGUUUACAACCCAUAGGGCCGUCAUCCUGCACGCUACUUGGCUGGUUCAGGCUCACGCCCAUUGACCAAUAUUCCUCACUGCUGCCUCCCGUAGGAGUUUGGACCGUGUCUCAGUUCCAAUGUGGGGGACCUUCCUCUCAGAACCCCUACUGAUCGUUGCCUCGGUGAGCCAUUACCUCACUGACAAGCUAAUCAGACGCAUCCCCAUCCAUCACCAAUUAAUCUUUCAUCCAAAUUAGAUGCCUGCUUCGGAUGACAUAAGGUCUUAGGCCGACUUUCGACGGGUUAUCCCUUAGUCAUGGGUAGGUUGGAUACGCGUUACUCACCCGUGCGCCGGUCGCCAUCAACGAUUGCAAGCAAUCAUCAUGCUGCCCCUGACUUGCAUGUGUUAGGCCUGUAGCUAGCGUUCAU
rnacentral:rRNA from 1 species